ACGCGGAGGUUGUAAUUGGUCUCUAGACCACACCUAGUUGUUGAGUGCCGCUGCUUGAAAAUCUCAGUUCUGCCGAGAUCGCAGAAUACACACAAGCUACCUUUGGGCACCAGAGCAGACAGAACCGCGGAGCUUCAGGGUGGAAGAUUCGUGGAAACUUUGCCAAGGCCAGGACCUCGUGUGUUCCCGUCCGCCCCUCUGGGACGGCGCCAGCCCGGCAGGCCGCCGACCGUCCUGGGGCUCCCGCGCAGCGCGAUGCCGGCCUCGUCCACCGUCCACGUGCUGCAGCUGCUGCGGGAGCUGCUCGCCUUCGUGCUCCUCAGCUACACGGUGCUCAUCGGGGCGCUGCUGCUGGCCGGCUGGACCACUUACUUCCUGGUGCUGAAGUGACAGCGCCGUCGCCGCGCCCGGCCCCGCCUCCCGCCCGGCCCCGCCUCCCGCCCGGCCCCGCCUCCCUAACUCACCAGGAAAUUCCCUUCAAGCCCUGGCCCGAACUGAGUCCCCGCCCACCCGCCAGCGUCACGGCGCCCGACUCAGCUCCGCGCCGGACCCACCUCCGCGCCCUCAGGCCCUGCAUAUGCCCCGCCCCGCGCGGAAGUUCCGGCGGUUGGUUGCCUUGCGCGGCCGUUACAGCCUUUGCCCUAAGCCUCGCCCCCUUUCCCCCUGCCUGCCCAAUCCCGACUGCUUCCUUGGGUGGGGGCGUGGCUAUGGGGCGAGGCGCUCUCAGGUGGAGGCCGUGCCCCGCUCCGCGCUCACGAAGCUGCGUCACUUCCGGCGUGUGCGUCUGGCGUCCGCGCGCUGCACAAUGGCGGCUCUGAAGAGUUGGCUGUCGCGCAGCGUAACUUCAUUCUUCAGGUUCCUGCUUGGCUCGAGUUUGAGUUUACAGCCCCUGCAAGUAAAUCCAAGAGCCUGUUACAGAUUGGCGGUCGUGCCUUAUGAAAUCUGACUUCUACUUCCAGGCUGUUUAUACCUUAACUUCUCUUUACCGACAAUAUACAAGUUUACUUGGGAAAAUGAAUUCAGAGGAGGAAGAUGAAGUGUGGCAGGUGAUCAUAGGAGCCAGAGCUGAGAUGACUUCAAAACACCAAGAGUACUUGAAGCUGGAAACCACUUGGAUGACUGCAGUUGGUCUUUCAGAGAUGGCAGCAGAAGCUGCAUAUCAAACUGGCGCAGAUCAGGCCUCUAUAACCGCCAGGAAUCACAUUCAGCUGGUGAAACUGCAGGUGGAAGAGGUGCACCAGCUCUCCCGGAAAGCAGAAACCAAGCUGGCAGAAGCACAGAUAGAAGAGCUCCGUCAGAAAACACAGGAGGAAGGGGAGGAGCGGGCUGAGUCGGAGCAGGAGGCCUACCUGCGUGAGGAUUGAGGGCCUGAGCACACUGCCCUGUCUCCCCACUCAGUGGGGAAAGCAGGGGCAGAUGCCACCCUGCCCAGGGUUGGCAUGACUGUCUGUGCACCGAGAAGAGGCGGCAGAUCCUGCCCUGGCCAAUCAGGCGAGACGCCUUUGUGAGCUGUGAGUGCCUCCUGUGGUCUCAGGCUUGCGCUGGACCUGGUUCUUAGCCCUUGGGCACUGCACCCUGUUUAACAUUUCACCCCACUCUGUACAGCUGCUCUUACCCAUUUUUUUUACCUCACACCCAAAGCAUUUUGCCUACCUGGGUCAGAGAGAGGAGUCCUUUUUGUCAUGCCCUUAAGUUCAGCAACUGUUUAACCUGUUUUCAGUCUUAUUUACGUCGUCAAAAAUGAUUUAGUACUUGUUCCCUCUGUUGGGAUGCCAGUUGUGGCAGGGGGAGGGGAACCUGUCCAGUUUGUACGAUUUCUUUGUAUGUAUUUCUGAUGUGUUCUCUGAUCUGCCCCCACUGUCCUGUGAGGACAGCUGAGGCCAAGGAGUGAAAAACCUAUUACUACUAAGAGAAGGGGUGCAGAGUGUUUACCUGGUGCUCUCAACAGGACUUAACAUCAACAGGACUUAACACAGGCCUCUUGUUCCUUCCUUUCUUUCCGUUUCUCUAUUGUAUCCAAAGGAGAAGAGUGUAAGAUUUUGUUUGCAUCUGAAAGAGAAAAUGCGUCUCUCCUGGGGUCCUA
rnacentral:lncRNA from 1 species